GACGAGAAGUUCCAAAGCAUUCGAUAUGAGGACCUUCUGCCCCUAACGAAAGAAAUGGCGGCCAGUAUAAGUUUUGUUAUAUCUAUCCUGGAUAUAGAGGGAUGCCAGUUACAAUUACCAGUAGCUGAUUGUAAAAACACGACAGAAAACUGCACCUAUUUAAUCGAAAGAACUGAGGCUAACCUUGUUAAAGUGACAAACUUAUACCUUGGAUCUGCUUAUGGAGAGGGGGAUUUUAUUACCAUCGACGAGCGCCCAGAUGAUCCAAUACUAUCCCUAACCGUCAUAAAAACAUCUGGAAGAAAGGCACCUUUUCUCUAUCAGGCC